rnacentral:rRNA from 1 species
UGCGUAGGGGGCAAGCGUUGUCCGGAUUCAUUGGGCGUAAAGAGCGUGUAGGCGGCCAGGUAGGUCGGUUGUGAAAACUGGAGGCUCAACCUUCAGAGGUCGACCGAAACCAUCUGGCUAGAGUCCGGGAGAGGAGAGUGGAAUUCCUGGUGUAGCGGUGAAAUGCGCAGAUAUCAGGAGGAACACCAGUAGCGAAGGCGGCACUCUGGGCCGUGACUGACGCUGAGGAGCGAAAGCGUGGGGAGCGAACAGG